AUUAUAUACUUCCACAUCUUCUCAAUUUAUAUGCAUCGCGAGCCAAGGCACAAGAUUUUGAGAUUUAUGCUCCAAAUGCAACGUUUGAAGAUCCCCUUAUGCGUGCAGAGGGGGUAAAGCAGAUAAAAUCGUCAUUUUAUUCGCUCGGGAAGGUCUAAAUAAUUUUCCUUCUUACUAAGUGUCCUAU